rnacentral:rRNA from 1 species
CAUAGACGAUCAUAGUUAAAUAAAGUUUUAUUACCGAAAAUACUUGAUUUUAAGACUGGUUGAAUUUUGUUCUCUGGCAUACCGGGUAGGUAUGAUUAAACUGUGUUUACGUUGUGAGAAAUUAUACGGUUGUAUUUAUAACUGUUUAAUAGCUAUUUUUCUUAUUGUAUUAGCUUUUAGGCCAAGAUGUCUAAAAGAAUUAAAUAUCCUGCCUAUUUUGUCUAGACUAAAGGGUUAAAAUUACCCACUAUUUAUAAUUGUGUUACAACUUUUACUUAUUUUUUCGCGGAUUUUUUUUAUUGGCUAUUUAUUUAUAAUUAUUAGUGUUGUAUUAUGUUUAUAUAAGUAAUUUUAAUAUAUGAUAUGUUUCUCAUUAGCUGCCUGUCUGUUUAUUAAAAACAUUUCCACUCUAAGUAAUGGGAGGUAGUACCUGCUCUAUGCUUUUGUAAAUGGCCGCAGUAUAUUGACUGUGCGAAGGUAGCAUAAUUAAUUGCCCUAUAAUUGAGGGCUUGUUUGAAUGGUUUGACAAGGUGGUGUAUAACAUUUUUUAUUUAAUUGAAUUUAAUUAUAGGGGCACAGAAUCCCCUGAAGUUAAUUAGACGGAAAGACCCCGGGAUCUUUAGUUUUUGUCUGGGGCAGAUUAUGAUGUUUCAUUUAUAAGUUUGACCCUAAUGGUGCGUUGGGUUAAGUUACCCCGGGGAUAACAGUGUAAUAGUCUAUUAGAGAUCUUAUCGAAUAGACUGCUUGCCACCUCGAUGUUGACUUAGGCUUAGGCUUGGGCGCAGUAGUCCAAGUCUUUGGUCUGUUCGACCUUAGAUAGCCUCCAUGAG